UACGAAGGGGGUUCGGGUUGUUCGGAAUUACUGGGCGUAAAGCGCGCGCAGGCGGCCUUUCAAGUCAGGGGUGAAAGCCCGGAGCUCAACUCCGGAAUUGCCUUUGAAACUGUCAGGCUCGAGUACGGGAGAGGUGAGUGGAAUUCCCAGUGUAGAGGUGAAAUUCGUAGAUAUUGGGAAGAACACCGGUGGCGAAGGCGGCUCACUGGCCCGUUUCUGACGCUCAGGCGCGACAGCGUGGGGAUCAAACAGG
rnacentral:rRNA from 1 species